CGGGGCGUGGCGCAGCCUGGUAGCGCGACGGUUUUGGGUACCGUAGGUCGUAGGUUCGAAUCCUGCCGCCCCGACCA
rnacentral:tRNA from 5 species